rnacentral:lncRNA from 10 species
GGGACUGGCAUUCAGUGAGGCUGGGGGAGAAGCUUCCUAAAAGCAUUGCCCUUGAAAAGCAGGGCAUACCUAUCUGAUACUGAGGAUGUAGAAUGCAGUUUGGAGAUGCUUCCUAGCUACCUAAUCUUCCAAGGCAAACCAUGCACUCUUCAUCCUGAUAUUUGUGAUGCCUCCCUGGGCUACAUGACAGAGGGUGCACUGCAAAGGAUGUGAAGGAAAGUCACCACAGGGCAAAGGUGGAAACCCAGGGGCCUUUCCCCAGUGAGACUUUCUGGCUGUUCCUUUGGAACUUCCACCUGCUAGUUGCAGAUGUUUGCCACUGGAUGGGGCCCCAUGCUACGUGGGAACUGUUCAGGACUGUGGGUACUUAGUUCCAGCAGAGCUGGCUCCACCAGGGCACCAGGACUGCAGGCUUCUCAACUCCUGGCCUGGAGAGGCAGCUUCAGCAACCAGUGCCUGGGAAUCCACUAGCCCUUUCUCUGUGAGUCACGUGAGGGCAGAAUCUGCUCAAAGUCAGAGGGCUGGAGCAACCUGGAUUGUGCCAGAGUGAGGGCCCAGCUCACUGGAGGUCAGAGUAAGAGAGUCAAGGAUGGGAAGAAACAGGGUUUUGCUCAGUCUUGCAGAUACUGAGGCACUCAGGAGGCUCAGGAUGGCAGCAACAGGGCAUGUGCUAAACUUACCCUAGCCUCUUCCUUUUAGGCAGCCACCACAGAGGACAUCUGUUUGCCUCUGUACCCUACCCCAUCUCCAUGCUGGUAGAUAUAGUCUGGGGAUACCUUUAAAACAAACAAACAAACAAACAAAACAGGAUCUGUCUAUCACCUGUCCAAAUCCUGAAGCAAAAUGAGCCUUCUUUAUGGCCACCUUGGAAAGGCCUGAGUCCCCAGCAUCACCUGGGAUACAAAGUGUUCUGAGGUGGGGGCAGAGUGCCCUCCUGCCCAGAUGCCACACUCCACAAUAUCUCUUCCUGGCAGACAGGUUUCUCUUAACUUCCUUUGGCAAAUUUGGUUUCACUUCCUUUUGCAACUUUAGAACCUUUCUCAGGUCAGUCAUAAGGUAGUGGAGAAGCCAGGAUUUGAACCCAUUCUGUCUGAUUCCAGAGCUCAUGCAUUAACCACCUGACUGUGGUGCCUCCCCAUCAUAUGUGCAUCAAGUAUGAUCAUUUUUGUAGUUCUCAGAGUACUUAGCACCAUGCACAUCUGUAAUAAGUACAGCCACUGCCUACUGGGAGGUCUAAAGGUUCAACUCAUAAGGGACCCACAGGCCACACUGGGCUCCAGUCUCCUUAAAAGAUGUGGGACGGAGAUCAACAAUUGUCAGCAGAACCCCAUCAGGCAUUUGUCUUCUCACUGAGCCUUGCAGCAAACCACACAGCUGUCUAUAACCUAUCUGUUCCCAGAUUCAAGAACACAAGCUGCUCAUCAGUUGGGUGCAGGAUCCACUCUAGUACAAAAGCUGUGUGUCUCAAGGCAUAAUUCCUUAUGAUUACUUCAUAGCUCUGCUUUUGUCUUGAGACAAAAGAAAUUUCCUUCAAUUCCUACUUUUGCUGAGAUAUUGUUUUUUGAAAAGCAAUUAAAUCUUGUCAAUCACUUUUCCCACCUCUUUGAGAUACUUACAUGGCUUUUCUUCUUUAUUCUCUUAGUGUGGUAAAUUACAUUGAUUUAUUUUAAAUAUGAAACCAGCCUUGAAUUCCAGGAACAAACUCCAUUUGGACAUGCUAGAACAACCUUUUAUAUUUGUUUAGAUUUGAUUUCCUGAAGUGGUGUUAAAAGGUUUUCAUAUCUAUGUCUGUGAGGGAUAUUAAUCUGUACAUUUUUUUAUUACUAUUUUCUGGUGUUAUGGUAAUGCUAGUCUCAUAGAAUGAAUUAGGAAAAGUUGCCUCCUUCUGUAUUUUCUGAGAGUUUGUGUGGCACUGGUAAAAUAUUUUCUGUAUAUGUUUGACAUAAUUCACCAGGAAAAUUAUUUGUACCUACAAGUUCCCUCCUGGAAAGAUGUUGAUAAUCACUUAUUAUCCUUUCAUUGUCUGCCAGAUCUGUGGCAUUGCUUUUUUCUCUGGUAUUAGUAAUUUAAAUUUUCCCUUAUUUCUUGAUCAAUUUUGGCAGAGAUUUAUCAAUUUUAUUAAUCUCUUUUAAAAAUCUGUAUUGAGCUUUGUUAAUUUUCUCUAUUACAUACUUUUUAUUUCUACUCUUACGAUUGCUAUUUCUUUAUUUCUCCUUUGGAUUUAGCCCAUUUUUCUAUUUGUCUAAUUUUAGGAUUUAAAAUUCAAUCAUUAUUUUUAGAUAUUUUUAUUUUUAAAUAUAAACAUGAAAGUUGCAAUAUUACCUUGGGCACUGUUUUGACUGCAUUCCACAAGUUUUUAUUUGUCAUGUUUUAAUCACCAUUCAGUUCAAAAUACUUUCUAAUGCUCCUUGUUAUUUCUUCUUUGACCCAUUGGUUAUAUAAAAGUACGUUUUGCUUUAUUUCUAAAUAUGUGAAGACUUUCUAGAUAUCUCAGUUAUUUAUUACUAAUUUAAUUUUAUUGUAGCCAGAGAAAAUACACUGUAUGUGUUCAAUCUUUGGAAAUUUCUUGAGACUUAUUUUUUGACCCAGUAUGUUUGCCCUCAUGAACAUUCCAUAUUCACUAGAAAAAGAAUGUGUGUUCAAAUAAUGUUGGAUAUAGUGUUAUGCAAAUGCCACUAAAUCAAGAUAAAUCUUUUGCACUCUUGUUUUUUGCCUGCUUGUUCUAACAAUAAGUGAGAAAGAAGUGUUAAUAUCUCC